rnacentral:rRNA from 1 species
AUUGAACGCUGGCGGCAUGUCUUACACAUGCAAGUCGAACGGCAGCACGGGUGCUUGCACCUGGUGGCGAGUGGCGAACGGGUGAGUAAUACAUCGGAACGUACCUUAUCGUGGGGGAUAACGCAGCGAAAGCUGUGCUAAUACCGCAUACGCCCUGAGGGGGAAAGCGGGGGAUCGAAAGACCUCGCGCGACUAGAGCGGCCGAUGCCUGAUUAGCUUGUUAGUAGGGUAAAAGCCCACCAAGGCGACGAUCAGUAGCUGGUCUGAGAGGACGACCAGCCACACUGGGACUGAGACACGGCCCAGACUCCUACGGGAGGCAGCAGUGGGGAAUUUUGGACAAUGGGGGCAACCCUGAUCCAGCAAUGCCGCGUGAGUGAAGAAGGCCUUCGGGUUGUAAAGCUCUUUUGUCAGGGAAGAAACACCGGCUCUAACACAGUCCGGGAAUGACGGUACCUGAAGAAUAAGCACCGGCUAACUACGUGCCAGCCGCCGCGGUAA